rnacentral:tRNA from 2 species
GCCCGGCUAGCUCAGUUGGUAGAGCAUGGGACUCUUAAUCGCAGGGUCGUGGGUUCGAGCCCCACGUUGGGCG